UAGUCCACGCCGUAAACGAUGAGCACUAGGUAUCGGGGUCAGAAGACUUCGGUGCCGCCGUUAACGCAUUAAGUGCUCCGCCUGGGGAGUACGUACGCAAGUAUCAAACUCAAAGGAAUUGACGGGGACCCGCACAAGCAGCGGAGCAAAAAAAAUGUGGUUUAAUUCGAAGCAACGCGAAGAACCUUACCAGGACUUGACAUCCUCCUGACAGGUCGUUAAAACGAUCUUUCUACGGACAGGAGAGAC
rnacentral:rRNA from 1 species